GAUGAACGCUGGCGGCGUGCCUAAUACAUGCAAGUCGAGCGAACGGACGAGAAGCUUGCUUCUCUGAUGUUAGCGGCGGACGGGUGAGUAACACGUGGAUAACCUACCUAUAGGACUGGGAUAACUUCGGGAAACCGGAGCUAAUACCGGAUAAUAUUUUGAACCGCAUGGUUCAAAAGUGAAAGACGGUCUUGCUGUCACUUAUAGAUGGAUCCGCGCUGCAUUAGCUAGUUGGUAAGAUAACGGCUUACCAAGGCAACGAUGCAUAGCCGACCUGAGAGGGUGAUCGGCCACACUGGAACUGAGACACGGUCCAGACUCCUACGGGAGGCAGCAGUAGGGAAUCUUCCGCAAUGGGCGAAAGCCUGACGGAGCAACGCCGCGUGAGUGAUGAAGGUCUUCGGAUCGUAAAACUCUGUUAUUAGGGAAGAACAUAUGUGUAAGUAACUGUGCACAUCUUGACGGUACCUAAUCAGAAAGCCACGGCUAACUACGUG
rnacentral:rRNA from 1 species